rnacentral:rRNA from 1 species
GAUGAACGCUGGCGGCGUGCCUAAUACAUGCAAGUCGAGCGAACGGACGAGAAGCUUGCUUCUCUGAUGUUAGCGGCGGACGGGUGAGUAACACGUGGAUAACCUACCUAUAAGACUGGGAUAACUUCGGGAAACCGUAGCUAAUACCGGAUAAUAUUUUGAACCGCAUGGUUCAAAAGUGAAAGACGGUCUUGCUGUCACUUAUAGAUGGAUCCGCGCUGCAUUAGCUAGUUGGUAAGGUAACGGCUUACCAAGGCAACGAUGCAUAGCCGACCUGAGAGGGUGAUCGGCCACACUGGAACUGAGACACGGUCCAGACUCCUACGGGAGGCAGCAGUAGGGAAUCUUCCGCAGUGGGCGAAAGCCUGACGGAGCAACGCCGCGUGAGUGAUGAAGGUCUUCGGAUCGUAAAACUCUGUUAUUAGGGAAGAACAUAUGUGUAAGUAACUGUGCACAUCUUGACGGUACCUAAUCAGAAAGCCACGGCUAACUACGUG